rnacentral:lncRNA from 1 species
GUCAUUCGAUAAUGUUCCCUUUGCAUCGGUGACCGAUGCAAGCACGGCGAUGAACAUCGGCAAGGUGCAACGGUGGUAACUCCUGCCGGGUGAGCGGCGCCCUUAUAGCGUCGCUCGCUCUGCGCGUUUCACACGCGUGAAGGAGCGAAAAAAAGGGGCCGGUCGGCCGGACGGACGGACGGAUGGAUGGAUGAACGGGCGGACGGACGGACGGACGGACGGACAAACGGACGGAUGAUGGAUAGAUGGACGGAUGGACGAACGAACGGACGGUCCAACGGACGAACGGAGAAACGAACGAACGGACGGACGGACGGACAAACGAACGAAUGAACGAACAAAAUAACAAACGCAAGAGCGAAAGAACGUACGGGCGUCUUGCCCGCAAUUGCGCACGAGAACCGAUGGACUUGCGUCAUUUGACGCUCUAUCUCGCUCUCUGCCUCCCUCUCUCUCUCUCUCUCUCUCUCUCUCUCUCUCUCUCUCUGUCUCUCUUCCCUUCGUAACGAACGAUACGCGCGGACAUCGCAAUUUACUCCUCUUGCGACGCGAUGACACGUGCACACCGUUCACGGGGGUGGGCGGAAGAAUGCACCCGGGGGUUUGCGCCAGCACACGCCGAAGAUUUACGUCAGUCCUGACCCGACGCGCGCCCUCAAGGUCACCAAAGGCGCGCGCGGCGAUCAACGCCGAAGGGCGCCCGCCGAAAGAGAGUAUAAGUAUAAUAGAAAUAGUAACGAGCAUGGUUAAUCGCGUCAGACUGCUGCUAUCAAGAGCUCCUUCGGCGACCCUUAGCGACAUGGGACGGUGAAAGCGUAUUUUUGAAAUUCGAGCAAAGUUCAGCCCCGCAGAAACGUUAGCUCGCUCGUUGCUGCUGCUGCUGCUGCUGCUGCUGCUACCUAUACUGCUCGGAUCUCGCCGCGGAAGAUUUUGCGCCAAUCAAAGUAACCAAAGCAACGCCGCGAGUCUCGUACACAAAUCGACGGCUUAUUUGAUGCGCGAUAAGAAUUAUUUCCCUUCAGAUCCAAUCAUUUGUAACACAUGACACACGCACGCGGCAUACUCACGUAAUAACGCUCUUAAAACACCCGACGUAAACAAAAUUGGGUCCGAUACCCGCGGGAAAAUGAACGGUGGAACCACUCUUCGUUGUCACCGUCGCCAUCACCAUCGACAUCGUCGUCGUCGUCGUCGUCGUUGUCGUCGAUGGCGGCGCAGAUCGAUCAGCGACCGCGCGACGUGCACACAGCAGAGUUUCUUCCUUCGUGAAAUUUUUAUGAACCCGCGAGCUUUUUCGGGCGCGGCGAGAAAGAUAUCCGCGCGUCUAGAAAUCAGGUCCCCGUGAAAUAUACAUACGUGCGGUGCGAUUUCCCAAAAUGUCCGCGGAUAAUUCCGUCGUGAAUUUUGCCGCGCGCGCCGCCGUCUAACCGCACCGCUUUAUAGCGCGGCCGCGCUAAAGAAUUAAAGCAUAAAUGAUACAGACGCUAAACGGGGUCGUUUUAAUAUAGCGUACGCGCAAGGCGAAUAUUAGCGGGCGGGUUUUCGAUCGCCGUUCGAUAUGAAUAGGCGCCCGAAUGCGAUUAAGUGCGACUUUUAAGUGCGCCUCCCGACAAUCGUCCCGAGCCAGUCGGGAAAGAAUUAUGAAGGGCAAUUCCCCCCCCGCGAUUCGCAACACGAAUCCGAUCCUUUGUAAUUCGAUUAGACUAACUUGUCUCGAGACAAACACGCUAACGAAAGUAACCACCGUUGCCGUUACUUUUUUAUAAUAACGAUUUAGUCAUGACGUUUACAAUUUGUCAUAACGAUCGAUGGUAAGGCCACGGUUGAGAUAGUCACUUUCAACAAGUAACACUCGUUAUCCAUUAGGCGUUAUUCAUUAAGAAAAGGUAACUUGUUACUUUACUCGUUGCGUAACGACUUAAUUUAUUAUAAGUCAUUGCUUUGACUCGUUAUGUAACGAGUUAAGUAACUUUUUCUCAAUGAAUAACGCGUAACGAUAACGAGUUACUUGUCAAAAGUAAAUAUAUGUCCCGACUCUCAUCCUGCGAAAGAUUUUGUAACGAAUAUUUUAUCAAAAAGAUAAAUAAAUAAGAGUAAAAAAAAAACAAUCUCGUUGCUUUUAACGCGUUUCCCGAAAUCCAUUUGCAAAGCUUUAGCCGAUCGAUCGGGAUGCCGUGCUUUUCUUAAACCUUUAAAACUUUUUUUGCAUCUCCACGUAGACGCGUUUAACGCAAAGUCGAGUGUAAAAAGAAUGAUGCAUCACCGGACACGUCCGCGAAGUUGUGUCUUCCGUGUUAUAAUCCGUUGCGGCACGUCGUAUCCGUUUUGCGGGUAAUAGUCAUCCGACUAUAAUCUCGUCGUGUACCUUGCGUAACGCGCCGCUGUGAAGCAGUCGACGUGUAUAUGAGAGACAUUUAUGUCCCGGGUAGAGGUAAGUUCCCGGCGGUAUCUUCUGUGUAUACUAAUUGAUAUUGUAUUUUGCGUGUUACUCGGUAAACAGGUAAACAGCGUGCGUCAGCUGAUCGAUAUCUCGCGCCGUUGACAAAGUACGCGACUCGAUUUCUCCCCUGCUCCUCCAUUUGUAAUCCCGCCGAACCGGGAAUCGGAGCAGAAAAAAAAAAGGAAUAAACAUAUUUUUCUCUUUAGACAUACCGCAUUAUUUCACGAACACAUUUACAAUUAUGCAUGUAUAUGUUGUAUUAUGAAUUGUAUACGUGUAUCUUUACAAUUAUAUAUAAAACGAAUUUCACACAUGACGUGUGGGUGUAACUUUAAAAAUAGAGUCGGGAUAUAAAAAUAACACAAAGAAUUUAUACACUUACAAUAUUCGGUCUAUUACAAUAUUUUAAUAAAAUUAUCUAUAUUUCAGUUAAUAAGACUCAGAUUUUAGUAAUAUUGUAACAAAUAAACAAUACUAGAUAUUCAAUUUUUCUAUUAGUGAGUUUAAUAUUUUAUAAUUUGUUAGGCACGUUUUAUUUUUCCAAUUAUAUUACUUAUUAAAAAUUUUAUUGUAAAACUUAUAAAUAUCCCGGAUUUUUUGCUCAUUAUAAUAUUAACAAAAUUAUGUGUCGAUAACUGAAGCAUUAAACUACAGUUGUAAUUAACUGUUUGAAUUAUUUUAUGUCCUCAAUUCACUUUUGAAUUUAUGCCAUACACUAUAAAACAUCCUGUAUAUAAAAACUAUAAUGCAUAUUUUAUUUUUAUAUAUUAUAUUGUAUGUAUAUACUAUCAAGUAUAGCAUGUGCGUUAGCACAAACUUUGUGUAUGUAAUACGUAAUGUAUGCGAAAAUCAGGUUCGAUACUGAAUUCGUUAGUCACGUCGCUGAUGUCAUACUGUGUAAUAUCGAGAAUCUACGACAAAAAGCUGUUAGAAUAACGUAAUACUUCUUGGGAUAAUGUAGAUAUUUCUUAUCGCGCGCUCCUUGCUUAUUAGAAUGAGAAAAGAACUCUGGUUUUUCUCUGACUACGCGAGGGCGUACAUUAACGCCGUUGAUAUAGAUAUGUACAAAUUUGUGCACAAGUCUAGAACACGUUGAUAAGAUCAUACGGCGCGAUAGAGGAAGCCGUUUUCUUACGUAAUUGAAAAUUAGAUGCGGGCUCUUCAAAUAUUGUUUAUUGAUAGCGGGAUUACCAAAGCCAGAUAAAAUAUCAGAAACCAACAGAGAAUUUACAAACCUGUAAUUUCUAAUCUCGCGCGAUUGAUCCGAUAGAUAUUUUUCUAACGCGAUUGUAAAUCGUGCUCUGGCCUUUGAUAGAUCGAUGCCGUAAUAAAAAUUACCACGAUACGAAGCGCGAUCAAAAGCAAGAAUAUAAAUAUAUUAAGCAAUAAUAAUAAAAUUAAAUGUCCUCAUCGAAAAAGUAACAUGACAUUUUUCAUCCUUAUCAAGUAUUUAUAUUGUCAUAUUUUUCAACUUGGGUCAUAAUUUAUACACUUUCUAAAAAUGUGUAAUAUUUCAUGUAAAAAAAAUGCUUUCACAUCUACUGAAAUAUUUUUACAUUUUUUCAUAAAAUAUUUAUGUAUUCGCACAUUUUUCACAAUUUGCGUUGCUAAUAAUCGAAUGACCCUCAAAAGUCAUUAUGUCAUUACAUUUUUUAAUUGCGUUACAUUUAUGCAAAACCGCGCGGUAUAUUCACGUACGACGAAUUCAGCGGGCGACAAUCAAUCAAUGGCAUACGAAAACGAAGGUAAUGUAAUUGAAUAUUAAACGCGAUACUUAUACGACGACUUUACUAUAUGCGUACGUAAACAUAUCAUUUCAUAAAUAUCAUCGAUUAACUCUUCGCUCUCGUCGUCUCUACUUAUAUCGCCAAAUCGCUUAAGAGCCAUGUAAUCAAACAUGGACUUUGCGUUUUAGCUGUCGCAUGCUUUUAUCGCCGAAUACUUACAAGUGCUAAGUACUUCAGUGGAUGGUAAUACUACGAUUACUCUCUAAAGUACUAAGUCUCCUUAAGUGACAUUUCUCUCAGGAAUUUGAUACAUUACGAUGUAUCCUUACGAUUAUACGUAACGAUUAUAUUGUUCAGUUUCGACUUUCCGCAAUCGCAGAUUAUAGAACCUUAUUAAAGUGAAAAUUAAUCUUAGAAAAAAUAAUUUCGUCCAACUUUUCAAUCAAUCGAAAACCUUUUUUGCCUUUCGAUUUUACAUUUAAUCCGACUUGAAUCAGGAUAAAGUUAGCGUUUUUCGCCGCUAAUAAAUGGAAUUACAAUCGAUCUUCUCUUACACAUUUUUUUGCAAGUAAAUAGCCAAAAUAAAGUUAUAAUUCAAUUAUCGAUUAUUGAUUCUUCGAUUAAACUCGAGAUUUUACCUAAAAAUCUAAAAAUCUGUCAUAUAAAUGCGCAAGUAAAAUGCAAAUCAUCGACAGGUAAAUUACAUUGACGGAAUGGAGCAAGUAUUUUUUCUCUCGAGCGGCAUAUAUAAAAAACAAUUGUUGCUCUAUUUCUUUCAUUCUCUUUUUAUUAUGUAAAAUAUUUGCUAAGACUUGAAAUCGGAGCAUUUGCCUUUACGAGUAACAACCAGAAAAUUCAAUUCAAAUAAGUGUGUGAUAAAAAAUAUAACAAUUAAUAUAUCAUAAUGUUACAUCCUUAAGACCGAGUUAUUGCCACCAUUCCUCAUUGGCUCCGAGAGAAAUAUUCCAUGAUUUCACAAAGCGCAGCCAGAGUGCGAGAUCAUUCUUGCAACAACUCCCAUAGACAUUUCGUGUCGAUUUGUACGGCAACUAUACAGCACGAGAGAGAGAAUGCUAUCGCUUGCUUGGAGCCUGCAGCUCCAUGUAAACAGAACGUUCCACCCAUCGACCCAGGAGUAGAUCUUGAACUCCCCGUUACAAUCAGUAUUUCAGCACGUGCGCGCACCUUAAAGAGACGGCAGGCCGCCGAAUAAUAUUCGCAGGCGAGUUUGUCCACCCAAGAGUAGAAUGGCGCGAGUCAACGUUUAGGUCAUCACAUGUUCCGCGGAUUUGCAUAACCUCGGGGACGCACAUUAUGACGCGCUUUGUGCCGCGUGAGGUCAUACCCGAGGGGCCACCACGUCUUAUUGUCGCGUGGCACGUAUUAUUAUACACGUUGUGUAGGUCUAGGUUUACUCUCUUCCCUCCCUCCGCCGCCCCUCACGCUUGACCGAGAUAUACCGGCCGAUAAACCGGCAUAUCCGAUAACGUUACCGAAACACGCGUAAAAGAUCGAACGCGUGCCUUGCCUUUUCCGCGCCUUCCGGCGAAAAAAAAAAAAGAGACGGAGGCGACGGAGAAGAAACAUGCGAGCGCGCGUGAAAAGCGCUCGCUCUUUCUCCCUCUCUCAUUCUCUCUACUGAAAACUCUUUGCGAUAAUGCUAAACACUAAACGGUAUGCAAACGAAAUAAUAAUGCAAAGUCCGCCUUAAACGUGCUACUCCACAAUUUCGCGACGAAAUCAGAGACGAAACUCCGCGCGUAUAAUUUAAUAAGACACGACUAUCGCACGAGGUGUCCUAAUAAUAAUAAAUCACGACGGUGAAACUGAGGUAAGGAGGAUAAAUGGAAAAAUUGAAUUUCACCUAUGUAUAUUCGUCCGUCGACCGAUUACGCAAACCCGAAGAUUUCGAAAAGAUUAGAGGUCUGUCCGUGUAAUUAUGCGAGAAACGCGGUUCUGAGAUUUAAAAAAAAAAAAAGGAAAGAAAAGACUUUUGCAUCUCUUUAAUAUUACACCUUUGGCACCUGACUAUCGGUAGUUACUCACGUUAUCAUUUCUCGACCGCGAUUUCCCUCGCGUUACCGAAAGAAAUAACAUGUGCUUCCACAACAUUUGAUGCUAAGUAAGAUCUGUAUAUCUAGGGCAAUGUCUUUGUAUAGAUAAUAAUUAAAUAAACAAAAUGUCAUAAAAUUGAUAAUUAACUCUACCAUCGGAAAAUUAUAUUGCCCCGUUUUACUCAACGAAUUCGAUCACUGCCUAACCUCUUUCUAAAUUGCCUCAUAUAAUAUUAAAUGGUAGAAGAGCAAAUAAUAAUUAUAUAUAAGCAAUCAAUUUUUAAGGCUAAGUCUUUUCAACCCAGUUCCAUAUUCUUUUAAUUAAUCCGAGAGAAACGUGAUUAAAAGAUUAAGAUUUCAAAACGUGAAUCUGAUUAUAUAUAUAUAUCUGAUUAUAAAUGUUUCAUUGUGACCCGUUUCUCUUGUUUUUUCUGAUAAAACGGCAUACACUCACACAACAACACACAUGUACAUGCAAAACAAUCUAGCGAUGAUAGACUAAUAAAAAAUGCUAUUCUUUUUCUAGCAUAAACGUACUUCGUUUAUUUUGUAACGUAUUUAUGAUUUUUGUAUACUACACAAUAAUUGUAAUAAUAAUUUUAAGUUGUAAGCAUAUAUACAUAUGGAGGAUGGACAAAAAAAUGUAAACACCCAGGAAAUGUACUAAUCUUCUUAUUAAUAAAAGAUUGAUCCAUUAUUUUUAUCUUUAAUACAGAUUAUAUCUGUUUGGAAUAAGAUCACACACAAUAACAAUCACUAACAAUGGAAUGUUUUAUUAUUCUUUUAGAGGAAAACACCUUUCAAUUAUAUAAGUAAUAUUAGAGAAACGACUUUGCUUCGAAAUCCGACCAUUAUUUUUCAAGAUUGUCCUUUGUUCCUCAAAACAAACCAAAUACUGCCUAACUUAAAUAUCAUCAAAUUAUUGUAAACAGUUUUGACGAGCAAAGUGAAAAACAGACAUUUUCUCCUCCAACAUCCGUUAAGCAUCUUUCAACAAAUCUCUUAAGAAAUCUUUUGUUAGAAGAGUAGUAUAACAUUGCAUUAGCAACUAUUCAGGUAUUGUAUGAUUUUAUCCCAAAUAAAAAUAUAAUCUGUAUAAAUAAAAAACCAAUCUCUCAUUAAUAAAAUAAUUAGUGUUUCCAGAUGUUUAUACAUUAUUUUGCUUAUCUCCUCGGCAUAUUUGCCUUUCACUUCAAAAUAUAUUUAACAUCUCUGAAGUUAACACACGUACUAGAGUUUCGUGAUGCUAAUAAUUUCCAUAAGAAAUAUAUCUCAUCUAAUCACGCGCUCUACACGAGUAUCAAAAGAGCACGUUGCAACGAGGUCGACGAUGGGCAUCGAGAAUAAUAUUGCGGCUGCAUUCGCGCACAGAUUUCUGCAUUAUCGGUCGUGAUUUUGCGAGGGCGGGCUACAGAUGGCGGUACGAAACGGAGCGGUUGCAAGGCAACACACGUUGUGUUUUAUAAUAUUUAAUAACAACCACAUGAUACUAUGAUAGAGGUUCGAUAUCACAACGUUGCUGCGGCUUUAUCACCUUAAAACACCAGCGAAUUUACGAUAUAAUUAAAUUGUCGAAAAAAAAAAA